GUUUCCCUGAUCACUGUGCUGUCGGAGGCUUCUCACAUGUCUCUGGGAGCUGCCAGCUUUUGUCUUCAGCCCUCAGAAGGUGCAGCUGUCCAGGCUUAUUCCGGAGGGCGCCAGUUGAAUACAGAGCCUCCCCAUGGGCCGGAGGAACCGUGCUAUUUGGCACGCCGCCCUUGCCUGGGGGCCAGCCCCUCCGAGCCGGAUGGAAGUGACGUUAGAAAGCCCUGUGUCCGGUAAGUCCCACCAGAAGA